GGGGAAUCUUCCGCAAUGGGCGAAAGCCUGACGGAGCAAUACCGCGUGAGGGAGGAAGGUCUUUGGAUUGUAACCCUCUUUUCUCAGGGAAGAAGUUCUGACGGUACUUGAGGAAUCAGUCUCGGCUAACUCCGUGCCAGCAGCCGCGGUAAUACGGGGGAGGCAAGCGUUAUCCGGAAUUAUUGGGCGUAAAGCGCCCGCAGGUGGUCAGCCAAGUCUGCUGUCAAAUCAGGUUGCUUAACGACCUAAAGGCGGUGGAAACUGGCAGACUAGAGAGCAGUAGGGGUAGCAGGAAUUCCCAGUGCAGCGGUGAAAUGCGUAGAGAUUGGAAAGAACAUCGGUGGCGAAAGCGUGCUACUGGGCUGUAUCUGACACUCAGGGACGAAAGCUAGGGGAGCGAAUGGGAUUAGAUACCCCUGUAGUC
rnacentral:rRNA from 1 species